AAAAUGACUCUCGGCAAUGGGGAUUUCGGCUCUCGCAUCGAUAAAAGGCCAACGAAAUUCGAUACGUGGGUCGAAAUGGAAAAUUCCCGGAACCAUUGAGUCUUUGAACGCAAGUUGCGCCCGAGGCCAACCGUCCAAGGGCACGUCUGCCUGGGGCUCAAGGGU
rnacentral:rRNA from 1 species